GACGAACGCUGGCGGCGUGCUUAACACAUGCAAGUCGAACGGAAAGGCCCUGCUUUUGUGGGGUGCUCGAGUGGCGAACGGGUGAGUAACACGUGAGUAACCUGCCCUUGACUUUGGGAUAACUUCAGGAAACUGGGGCUAAUACCGGAUAGGAGCUCCUGCUGCAUGGUGGGGGUUGGAACGUUUCGGCGGUUGGGGAUGGACUCGCGGCUUAUCAGCUUGUUGGUGGGGUAGUGGCUUACCAAGGCUUUGACGGGUAGCCGGCCUGAGAGGGUGACCGGCCACAUUGGGACUGAGAUACGGACCAGACUCCUACGGGAGGCAGCAGGGGGGAAUAUUGCACAAUGGGCGGAAGCCUGAUGCAGCAACGCCGCGUGCGGGAUGACGGCCUUCGGGUUGUAAACCGCUUUAGCCUGUGACGAGGCGUGAGUGACGGUAAUGGGUAAAGAAGCACCGGCUAACUACGUG
rnacentral:rRNA from 1 species